rnacentral:lncRNA from 1 species
UAGCCAUACAAAAAUGAAACAUGAGGAUAUUUGGUGAGAGAAAUUUGUCAGCAGAAUUCUCUAUGCUGGAUAGUGACUGAUAAGCUAAAUCUUCUCUCUAUUCUUUGGCAUUUGCGAUGUGAGACCCAAGAAAAUGUGGCAGUUUAGAGCAGCCAAGUUGAAGCAAUCCUAAUUUCAGCCAGAAAUAGGAGCCCAUGUAUAGAAACCAUGGGCCGUGGGGAUGGUGGAACUAAUUGUUUCUGUAGGGAACACGGUUUGAGGGUCCUUGGCCUCUGCUGUCUUCAAUGAGUUUCCUGUUCUGCAUGAUACCAGGUCUUUAGAGAAACUCAAUCAAUUGUCAACCAGAACAUUUUUAAAUCUACCUGUAAGCUGGAAGCCCCCCAACAACCGCAGCCCCACGCCCGCCUCCGCUCUGAGUUG